CUGAAGCCCCCCAGUAUGCAGCAGAGUUGGACAUUUCACCCCCUCACAGUCCACCAUUUCUCCACAGUGACCUUUCAAACACAUCAUCUUACACAUCCCCUGAGGAAAGAAGUUCUGAUGUCCGCAGCGUCUCUGAAAGUCCUGACAGUCCAGCCAGAAGUGUACACAGUGAGGACAACUCCUCGAGUGGACCAAGCACUUCAUCUCAGGAAAGCCGAUCUGAUGUAAGGGGUUUUCCUGGAUGGGAGGUGGUUGAUAAAUUGGCGGGCUAUCUUGUCAACCUAAACCGCACCAUAACAGCUUUGUCAGCCUCAGAGACAGAUGAGAUUGUGCGGCUGUACUCAAGUCUUCACACCAUGGAGUAGUCGCUGACAAAAUAUUUGCUGAAAUGUAAGCGGAAGACCUUGGCUGGGCCAUGGAGAGCAUCCAGGAAACGCAGUGGCUCUGCACCUGGUCAGCAAGUGGCUGAAAGCUGAACUGCACUAUAGUGGAUGCACGCAUAAUCACAAGUCUGAUACUUAUUUUUAAUUAAAUGUUACAUUAAAGCAAUAUCACACAAGACCAAUAAGGUUGUUCUGUAAAUGCUCACCGCAUUUUUGACUGUUCAGUAAUAUACUAGGUUUAACCGUGAAGUGGGGUUAUACUUACUAUAAUGACUCAUAACACAUCUUUUUUCUUUUCUUUAAAUUAAUAUACUGUCUGCUGUGCAAUAUUGAUCAUGUCGUUUUUUCCUUCCUAGACUGUUCAUGAUCCAUGGCCAGGCUGCCCAGAGACCUGACAGCAACAGAAUCUCUGAGUGUGUUUCCCUCAGGCUGUUGAAGGAGUAUCAGUGUGCACGAAAUAGGCCAAAAGACUGCAAGGGUAAAACUUUACCAAUUCCCCAGUCCAUCGUCCACACAUACCAGCACAUCAAACAACUGCUAGAGGACAGCCGGGUGAUUCAGGACCAAACCACCUUGGUGCUGGUGACUGUCAACAACACCACAGUAUCUUCUUGGUUGCAUGAAAGGCAGAAAAGAACUGGUCGAGACUCUUUGCUGCAAGGGGUCUAUCUUCCACAGACAGUCUCUACGGC